AGAAUCAACGCUGGCGGCGUGCCUAACACAUGCAAGUCGAACGAGAAAGUGGAGCAAUCCAUGAGUAAAGUGGCGCACGGGUGAGUAACACGUGACUAACCUACCCUUGAGUGGGGGAUAACCUCGGGAAACCGGGGCUAAUACCGCAUAACAUCGAGAGAUCAAAGGAGCAAUUCGCUUAAGGAGGGGGUCGCGGCUGAUUAGCUAGUUGGUGAGGUAAUGGCUCACCAAGGCUAUGAUCAGUAUCCGGCCUGAGAGGGCGCACGGACACACUGGAACUGAAACACGGUCCAGACUCCUACGGGAGGCAGCAGUGGGGAAUUUUGCGCAAUGGGGGAAACCCUGACGCAGCAACGCCGCGUGGAGGAUGAAGUCCCUUGGGACGUAAACUCCUUUCGAUCGGGACGAUAAUGACGGUACCGGAAGAAGAAGCCCCGGCUAACUUCGUGCCAGCAGCCGC
rnacentral:rRNA from 1 species